AGCCCCGUGGUCUAGCGGCCAAUCGUGGCCGAGACAUCGGACCUCGCGACGGCAGUUCGAAUCUGCCCGGGGCUA
rnacentral:tRNA from 1 species